UGGUAUUUUAACUAUACAAAGGUAUUGUAAUAAGAUUUUAAUUGAAUGCUAAAAGAAUGGAAGUUUAAGAAAAAACUUUUUUAAAAAUAAAAAUUAAAUUUUUUUUAAUUUGUGCAAAACCAAUUAUUUAUAUUAAAGACAAGAAGACCCUAUGAAUUUAUGAUUAAAUAAACUAAARAUUUUUAGUUUAUUUAAUCUUGAUUGGGGCAAUCAAAAAAUAUUAAUAACUUUUUUARAUUUAAAUGAUCUAUUAUUAAUAAUCUAAUGGAAUAAAUACUCUAGGGAUAACAGCGUAAURAUUUUUGAUAGAUCUUAUAGACAAAAUAGUUUGCGACCUCGAUGUUGGAUUAGG
rnacentral:rRNA from 1 species